rnacentral:rRNA from 1 species
CCUACGGGAGGCAGCAGUGAGGAAUUUUCCGCAAUGGGCGAAAGCCUGACGGAGCAAUACCGCGUGAGGGAUGAAGGAUUUUGGUCUGUAAACCUCUUUUCUCAAGAAAGAAGUUCUGACGGUACUUGAGGAAUAAGCAUCGGCUAACUCCGUGCCAGCAGCCGCGGUAAUACGGGGGAUGCAAGCGUUAUCCGGAAUGAUUGGGCGUAAAGCGCCUGUAGGUUGUUUAUUAAGUCCGUUGUUAAAGCCUAGGGCUCAACCCUAGAAAAGCAAUGGAAACUAGUAGACUAGAGUAUGGCAGGGGUAGAGGGAAUUUCUAGUGUAGCGGUGAAAUGCGUAGAUAUUAGAAAGAACACCGGUGGCGAAAGCGCUCUACUGGACCAUUACUGACACUCAGAGGCGAAAGCUAGGGUAGCAAAAGGGAUUAGAUACCCCUGUAGUCCUAGCCGUAAACGAUGGAUACUAGAUGUUGUGCAUUAUGUACAGUAUCGUAGCUAACGCGUUAAGUAUCCCGCCUGGGGAGUACGCUCGCAAGGGUGAAACUCAAAGGAAUUGACGGNUGAGAGNGCGAGACGACACGAGGAGAG